rnacentral:rRNA from 1 species
UACAGAGGGGGCUAGCGUUGCUCGGAUUCAUUGGGCGUAAAGCGACCGCAGGUGGCUUAUUAAGUCAGACGUGAAAGCCCAGGGCUUAACCCUGGAAUUGCGUUUGAAACUGGUUGGCUAGAGUGGUUCAGAGGAGGGCGGAAUUGCCAGUGUAGAGGUGAAAUUCGUAGAUAUUGGCAGGAACACCGAAGACGAAGGUAGCUCUCUGGGAACUUACUGACACUCAGGGUCGAAAGCGUGGGGAGCAAACAGG